AAGAAAAGAAGGAAGGAAGGAAGAAAAAAUGAUCAAGGCAAAUGGAAGAACUUAUCAAAAGUCAAGAUAGGGGACCAGCAGAUUCUCAGCAAAAAUUGAUAUUCCCUUUGGUCAAGGACUGACUAUCUCCAAAGUAAGUGAAAUAUGGUGUGCUUGGAGCCCCCGAGCUGUGAACAUUACCAAGAUCCAUUAUUUCAGCAUGGUUGUCUCCAGGCUGGCUCCAGCACAUGAAGAAAGGACUUGCUGGUGAGUCUCUGCCUUGUAUUUCGAGACCGAUAAGGAAAGGCAAGUUCACUCGGAGCGCUUGGGGAGGAGAGGCCCUGAUGGCAUGGCCUGUGCGGCCUCUCACCCAGGGAUUGCCCACCUCCCCGUUCUGUGUGCCCUGCUCAUUUGGAGAGCAGAAGGUAAGGGAGAGGGGGAGGGGGCCUACUCUGAGGGCCUCGCAGGCGCUAGCUAGCGAGCUCCUUAUCUGCAGACUUGGCAAAUUCUUUACAACAUCUGAUCAAGGAAGGCCUUUUUUGAUGUUUCUGCAUGUUCUCGAUUUACUGCCCUGCUGCUGGGAUGUGACGUUGCCCUUAUCAGGAGCCCCUUCAGAGCUUUCCAGGCGGGUUGCAAAGUCUGCGUGUUUUUAAAUAAACAGCAAGCCAGUUGCAGAAUGUUGCUUCUUUGAGGCUAAAGCAACAUUUGGAUAGGAGAGCAAAUGCCAGACCCUAGUGAUCUCCUGCCUUUUAUCUGGUUCUUACCCCUCCUCUCUUCUCUUCCUGUCUCCCCUCAAGCUCCCCUUCUUGCUCAUUCUGCUCUCAGGACCUUCUCUGCAUGUCUCUGGGACCUGGGCUGAGUUACGGGAAGCUGCUCGCAACCUCCAGGAUUCUGCCUUGUAUCUCCUUGAGCCUGGCUCUGCAGACGACAGACGGAAGACUUACCGGGAGAAGGGGCUGGCCGUUUGGACUUUCCAUCUGCUAUUCCCCCAAGCCUGCAAAGCUCUGAUCUGUAUGUCUAGUAUAGGGGGCUCCAACCAGGUGAGGAGAAGGAAGGGGCCUUGGACGGAGGCUGAUUCAUGCGGGAACAGCCAAGUCGUCAGUGUGUGGUCUCAAACUAUGGAGGGAAAAGCCUCUCUUCCUUACCUACUCCUGUAUCAUGACUCGCACUCCCUGGGAAGUCAUAACGUCCCCAUCCCAUGCCCACUGGAAGAAUCUGGAAAGAGAUGUCCUCAAAGAGGAUGCUUCCCAAAGACACUUUAAUAACUCCCUUUCCGUUUUCCUAGGCCUGUUGUAGUACAACACACCUGAGCCCUUCAACUUCAACUUUAAGAUCCAUCAUGUUCAAAGUGCCCAUAUCUUUUCCUUCUUUCUUUCUUUCUCUCUUCCUUCCUUCCUUCCUUCCUUCCU